UGCGCAUUCAUUUUCAUUGUGUAAACAAACAAAAACAAACUGUUCAUCCACGCACAACCUUAAUUGUCACUGACUCUCGCACUAAAUAUUGUCCACGAACAUCAUAGCUCGGGGGGCGAGAAAAACACAGUGUAUUUAUUCAUAAUUUUAUGGUCUAGGCUCCGGAUUCCAGAACGCCCAAGCAAUAUUUUUAUUCGUGGUUAAUCUUCGAACUUUUCAAAAUCUGUUGUUGAAUACAACAAAAAUACGUUAUUAUAUCGUUUCCCCUCACCUGUGUUUACAGCGUGACCAAUA